rnacentral:rRNA from 1 species
AACGAACGCUGGCGGCAUGCCUAACACAUGCAAGUCGAACGAGACCUUCGGGUCUAGUGGCGCACGGGUGCGUAACGCGUGGGAACCUGCCUUUAGGUUCGGAAUAACUCAGAGAAAUUUGAGCUAAUACCGGAUGAUGUCUUCGGACCAAAGAUUUAUCGCCUUUAGAUGGGCCCGCGUUGGAUUAGCUAGUUGGUGGGGUAAAGGCCUACCACGGCGACGAUCCAUAGCUGGUCUGAGAGGAUGAUCAGCCACACUGGGACUGAGACACGGCCCAGACUCCUACGGGAGGCAGCAGUGGGGAAUAUUGGACAAUGGGCGAAAGCCUGAUCCAGCAAUGCCGCGUGAGUGAUGAAGGCCGUAGGGUUGUAAAGCUCUUUUACCCGAGAUGAUAAUGACAGUAUCGGGAGAAUAAGCUCCGGCUAACUCCGUG